UGGAGAGGGACACAACCCAGACCGCCAGCUAAGGUCCCCAAAUUAUUGCUAAGUGGGAAACGAUGUGGGAAGGCUAAGACAGCCAGGAGGUUGGCUUAGAAGCAGCCAUCCUUUAAAGAAAGCGUAAUAGCUCACUGGUCGAGUCGGCCUGCGCGGAAGAUGUAACGGGGCUAAGCAAUAUACCGAAGCUGCGGCAGCACUUAUGUGCUGGGUAGGGGAGCGUUGUGUAAGUGGACGAAG
rnacentral:rRNA from 13 species